CAAAAUCUAAAUUUAUUGUUAUACCUUUUCGUUUAGAAGCUAUGUGGCUUGAGGAUCCUAGAUUUGGUCAUGUUGUUUAACGGUGUUGGUCUUCCUUAUAUGCUUAUAUUGCCAAUCCAUCUAUUUUUGAUAAAUUUAGCUCUUUACAAAAGCAUGUUGUCAAAUGGAAUAAAAUUGUUUUUGGUCAACUUAGAGUUAAUAUUCAAACUGCUAAAUGUAACUUAGCUUUUGCCCGUCAACAAUUUGAUCUUGUGCCUUCUGUUUUCAAUAAUAAUGAUUUGGCUAUUGUCUUAAGUUAUAUUUGGAUGCUUUACAUCUUGAGGAAAUAUUUUGGCAUAAAAAAUCUAGAGUUUAGUGGAUCAAAGCUGGUAAUUUGAAUACCCACUUUUUUCAUAUUUCCACCCUUGUUCACAGAUACAGGAAUCAUAUUCAGUGCAUUAAGCAUGAUAAUAGUUCUUGGGUUACUGGUCAAGAAGAAGUUUCUAAUGUUCUUGUGGACUUUUUCAAAAAUUUGUUUACUUCUUCUGGUUCUUCAUCUUGUUCUCUUUAUAUGUUGAACUUUAUUGUUAAAACCCAUGUUUCAGAUGCUUCUAAUUCAGAUCUUGUUGUUCCUAUUACUGAUUUAGAAAUCACUACCGCUCUUCAUGCUAUGGGUCCUUUGAAGUGUCCUGGCGUUGAUGGGUUACAGGCUGGACUGAUCAAAAGAUUAAUUUCCAAAAGUCUAGUAUUAUGUUCUCUUCGAAUAUCUCACUUCAUGAUGCUAGGCGGUUUGCAAAAAAAUUGAAUGUUAAAGUUUCUCCUAAUCCAUGUGCUGGAGGUAUAACUCGUGAUAAUGUUGGUCUUUUUGUUGCUGGCUUUUCUCAUCACUUGUGACUGAAUUCUUCUACUACAACUGAGAUUUGGGCAAUUCAUAAUGGACCUCUUCUUGCUAUUAAGAUGAAUAUUUCUCAUCUUGUGGUGGAAAGUGACUACUUAAACUAUUUCUUUUUGUAAAUAUGAUGUUUCUCCUCCUUGGUACUUGAGAGGUCUUCAACUUAACAUUCUUCAACUGGUUAACUCCUUUCAAGUAGUUAUUUUUGUGUACAAUCUUCGUAAGGAGAAUAUGGUGGUUGAUGUUUUGUCCAAGAAAGCUUUAGUUCCUUCUGUUUCUCAGGAGUGGAUUGCCCAUCCCCCUCCUUGUAUUUUGUAAACUCUUCAUGAUGAUCAUAUGUGGAUGGCUUUGCCCCGUGUUGUCAGAGCCGUUUAGUUUGUAUAUAAAGCUUGUUGUUUACCAAAAAAACAACAACGUGUAUUUAUAAA